GGAGCCUGUUCUGGAGUCAGCUGUGAUGUACUAAAGUCCGGAACUCCGCACACAGCCAGUGACCCACUGCCUCCGGCCGUACACGACAGUGCCUUGACCCAACAGCCAUCGAGUACUGUGUGGAUUUCCACUGAGGCGAGGGCCAGGGGGAGGAGGGGCUGCAGUGCACUGCUGCACGGGGCUGUCCUGAUACCUCACCCAGAAGGCCUUCUCAGUCUGCAACACUGAGGUCUUGCCCACUCUCUGCCUUAGGCUCCCAGGGGAAUCUGAGACCGAAUAUCAGGACGCUGGCUUCCAAUAGCAGAGCUCUGUGUUCAGAAGAUGCAUUGUGCCAGUUUAAUUUGCUCCUGUGUGCUGUCUUUACCAGCCCUAUGUGUUUUUAAUCCCUUUAAUCCCCAUCACCAGUUCAUCCAAUAGAAAGCUUCUAGUGAGGAAUUGGGGGCUAGGAAGGUGGGGGUUAGUACCAUCACUGAGCCUUUCUUGUCACCUCCUAACAGACGCUAAGAGCAGGGGGCCAUAGAAACAGUCUCAUUGGGAAAUGCUUGACCACCUCCAGCUAAGCCCCCAGCCCCCAGCCCCCAGCCCUAUGCUUCUGUCCUCCCCACUGCUUGGCAACCACCAGAUGAAAAGCUCUGAUCCACCAAUGCCAUACCCAGGUCUCUCUGAAACCAUGUCUCAUUCUGAAUUCGGGGGUUUUUGCAUGGAUUUACUGAGGGGGAGAGGGGCCUAAGGGACAACGUCACUAUUAGUCUAACUUAAAGGACAGCUUUCAGGGUCAGCAUAAUGUGGCUUGGUCAUGAAUGGGCUGUUGUAAAAUAUAACUCUGCAGGAAAAGCAUUCCCAUUCUCCAAAAUCCAUCUCCUGCCAAAUUCAACAGGAUUCAGAAUGGCAGCAAACCCCCUUAGAGAAAAGCAGUGUGGGUUGUGAGGGACGCAGAGGUGGCCCUCACCCCAAAUUUCGCUGUUUGUUUCACGGCAGGGGCUGGAAUAAAUGCAUGAGUAUGUGAAGUGUAUUUACGCACACAAAUAGGUCUGACCCUGUGCCGGACUCCCUGGGGGCCUGCUGUGUGCUUCUGGGAUUUUCUGAAUCAUAGGAUGCGGUGGGGAGAGGGUAAAGGAGGGAGGCACAGGAGUGGCCAUUAGUGCUGGCUCUGAAGGACACGGUGUGCCCAGUUCUGUCUAGUGUCUCUCUCUUAUGGCUUUCCAGAAUCCAUAACUAAAGGUCAGACCAGUGAACUUGCUGAAGCCAUACAUGUGAGCUGGUUCUAACUGGAAUGCCCCCACCCCCAGAAGCCCAGCCCUGUCUUCCCUUCCGAGUUCUCUGGUUCUCCCGUGCAUCCCCAGACUUAAUUGAACUGCUCUCCCUGUGUUGUGUGCCAUUGCCACUGAAGGGGGUCCUUGUGUCUUCCCAUAAUGCUCCUGCUGAUGUGUGUGUCACCCCAGAGAAAGGACUUCAUGAAAACAGUAAAACUUUGACAUUUUACCUAGUGGGUGUGGUUCACAUUAAAACAAAAUUUAAAAAAAAAAAAAAAACAAAAAACAAAAAACAACACAACAAAAAGAUCUGACUUCCAAACAGGAUGUUUUCCCUUAGGAGGCAUGAGGCUGCCUUUGUGCUAACAGUGUUAAAAUACUCCAUUCUCUUCGGACAAAGCGUGUACUGUGUAAGCCUUGCAAAAAAUGAGAACAACGAAGAAAAAGCCUGUUUGAACUUUUAUAAGAGGUUUCCUUGUGCCAAAUAAGUACAAAGAUUUAAUUUACUAUUUAAACCAUAAACAUGUUAUAGUUCCAGAAAUUAUUUUGUCAUCAGUGAUUUUGAUCUUUAGCUUCAAUAUUUAUAUUUAGAUUAAUUUUUAUAAAUGAAAUAUUUUGAUGGUUGAAGAAGUCGAGGACAAGAAGGAUGCUCUCUCUGACGGCUUCUCAAUGCCUUCCUGUCUCACACACUCGGCCAAGAAUCACUGUCAAGAGAAACGACCGCGAACAAGCAGUAAAGUCACCUAUGAAAACA
rnacentral:lncRNA from 1 species